rnacentral:lncRNA from 1 species
UCAUACCUUUUACCAGCUUUUGUUAGAAAGGCCGCUAAAGUCUUUGCCGAUCCGACUUCAGUGGCUAAACACCAAUGGCCGGUAAAAGAUAUAGCGGCAAUUGUUAUUACUGCUGAAGUCGUUUUGUAUUGCCGCUAAAGCCGCUUUUUGAUCUAGUGCUAGAUCCUAAACAAAAAGCUUGAUCUUCUUAAUGGCCAGAAGGAAGAUUUCUCAAAGCACGUUGCGUAUGGGCAUCAUUGCCCAUGUACAUAUCGUCAAUCAAAUUCCGCCCAACAAUGUUUCUGGGUUCUCGGCCAUAUCUUCUCUAACGAAAUUAAUUUGUAAGUUCACUUCAGAAGAUGUUUAUAUUUGUGGAACUUCUCAUGUCUCAUUUUAAUUGGUUUCUACAUCUACUUUUACAAUUUUAUUGUAAUUUAGAGAUUUAGUGUUUAAUUGAGUUUAAGAUAUUUUGGUCUUAGUUUUCUCUGUUUCUCUGUUGUCUUUGAUUUUCUGCCUUAAUAAUAAUGGAAAUAUAGAUUUGCUCUCGAUUAUAUUCUCUAAUUAUAAUUGAGUUUAUUUUUAUGAAGCCAAAAUAUUAAAAUGGAGAUUAGUCAUCCUCUCAUAAACUAAAAUAGCUAUUAUUGUAGUUUCUGAUUGGUGCUAUUAAGAGAUAUACUUGGUCAAUUUUACACAACAGACAACAACAACAACAACUCAGUAUAAUCCCACUAGUGGGGUCUGGGGAGGGUAGUGUGUACGCAGACCUUACCUCUAUCCUAGGGUAGAGAGGCUGUUUCUGAUAGAUGCUCGGCUCCCUCUCUCCAAGAACUCCCCACCUUACUCUUGGGGUGACUCGAACUCACAACUUCUUAGUUGGAAGUGGAGGGUGCUUAGCACUAAAGCAACUCACUCUUGUCUAACAGAGCAUACUAGAAAAUACGUCAUGAUCUGAAUAUGUACAUGAUUAUGACGUAUCUUAGCAAGAACUUUAGUUGUGAUUCUUCCACAAUUAUAAGGAAUUACCAAAAGAAACUAAUUCGAUGGCACUUGAAUAGGAAUCUAAUAGUUUGUUGUGUUCGUGUUAUCCCCAUAUACACAUUAUUUGAAGGGCUUGCAAGAUGUAAGUAUCUUUUAGUGAAAAUAGUUGGAUUUAAUAUUAUGCUUUGGUAAUAGAGAUGAGGAAACAUAUAGUAUGAUCAGUACCAGAGGGUCACAGAAAACUGGAAUUAUAUCAUAUAUAGACCAAAUGAACGUUUCAUAUGUUAGAUGAAAUGCACGAGCAUAUAGCUUAGAGAUUGGUGACCGGCAUCAUAAUGAAGUAAAUUUCCUCUAUGUCAUCUAAGUAUCUUAUUCAGACGGCAUAAAUAUUUUUAUUAUUCUAGAUCUUCCCAUUUCUGGCCUAAUCUUAGGUGUAACACCAAAAUUUUAGCACACAUAUAGACUUUAGUGUUACACUUAGUUUCUAAAGUUCACUAUUUUGUAGGAUAGUUUUAUCAACUAGAAGCCAAAGAAAUAUUAUCAAAAAUCUAUGGUGUUAUCUGGAAAAAAAAGUUUAGAAGAACUUUAUAUUAACUUGUCUAACAGAGUGAGCCGUAAAGAAAAAUUUGAUCUUCUUACAAAUGGCCUGAAGAAAGAUUUCUCAAAGCACGCUGUAUAUCGGACUUUAUGAUAUAGCUAACAGAGCAAUUAGACGUUAGAAAGCAAUAUAGUACUUGAGCACCGACAAGGAUGAAAGCAGAGAAAUCACUUACAGUGGGAUGAAGUCCAACACGUGGAGGAUUACGAAGGGUCAAACAAUCUCAAUAUUGGAUUUUAUAUAACGCAAUAUAUUCUUUUAGUUGGUUAACUUUACAUUUGCACUAUCAAGAAGGAUUAUCAAUGUAACGACCUGACCGUUCGUUUUGUACUCUAGCGCGUCGUUCGGCGGUUUGAGGCCUUGAGUAGCUUCAAUUCAUGUAUCAUGACUUGUAUGUGUGGUCGGAAUUGAAUUUCGGGAAGUUCGGAGUUGUUUCGGAAGGAAAAUUCUCAAUUCGGAAGCUUUAAGUUGGAAGAGUUGACCAAGGUUUGAAUUUUGAGUAAACGACCUCCGAAUCGGAAUUUGAAUGUUCCAAUAGGUUCGUAUGAUGAUUUCGAACUUGGGUGUAUGUUCGGAUUAAGUAUCGGGUGGUCCGGGAGCAUUUCGACGCUUAUUAUGGAAGGUUGGCAUUUUUGAAAGUUUAGAAAUUUCUUAAGUUUGAUUUGAAGUGAAUUUUGGCGUUAUCGAUGUCCAUUUGGGGUUUCGAGCCUUGGAAUAGGUUCGUAUCGUGAAUUGUGACUUGCACGCAAAAUUUGGCAUCAUUCUGGGAUGUUUAAGUGUAAUUCGGAUGCGUUCGGUGAAGUUUGAAUGCUUGAAAGUUAAAGAAAGGUUUCGAUCGUCGAGUCGUAAUUUUGAUGUUGUUUGACAUGAAUCGAGGCUUCAACUAAGUCCAUAUCGUGUUUUGGGAUGUGUUGGUACGUUUGGAUGGGGUCCUGGGGGCCUCGGGUUUGAAACGGAUUGAAACUUGGAUUUGAGGACAUGUUGUUGCUGCUGAAGUCUGGUGUCGCCGCACCUGCGAUAGGAUUGGUCGCAGGUGCGGACACGUAGGUGCGAAGAGAGUCAUCGCAGAAGCGAAGAGGCCAGCCAGGGGGAGGCUCACAGGUGCGGAGUUUGGCGUGCAGGUGCGCAUCCGCAGAAGCAGAAGAGGCACCGCAGAUGCGAAAUCUGGGCCGCAGGUGCGUUCAUGUGUCACGGAAGCCGGCUCGCAGGAGCGGCCAAUGCUCCUCAGAAGCGAGACCGCAGGAGCGGAUUUGCCUGGGCUUAGAGGGAACCACACCUAUGAUGGAUUUUUCUGCACGUGCGGAGUCGCACGUGAGACUCUGUGGCCGCAGGUGCGAAAUAUCAUUGGGCAAAGGGUGCUUUUAAAUUGAGACGUAGCUCUCAUUUCUCAUAUUUUUCACUUGGAUGGCCGAAUAUGGGGAGCUAUUUUGAGGAUUUAUUCAUCAAGCAACACGAGGUAAGUGAUUCCCACUUAUUACAAGUUAAAUACGUGAGUUAUAUAUGGGUUAAACAUGAAAAAUUCAUGAAAAUUGUGGGAUUUUAAGGGGAAAACCUAGAAUUUAUAAUUUUGGAUUUUGACCACGAUUUUGGAAAUGGAAUUAGGAUAAAUUAUAUAUUUGAGUUCGUGGUGUUAUGGGUAAUAUUUAUCUUCAAAUAUUUUUGGAAUCCGGGAAUGUGGGCCUGGGGGCGAAUUUUAAGAAUCUUCCAAUUUUGGUUGGAUAAUUACUCUAAUAGCUAAAUUAUGAACUUUUGAGUAUAUAUUGAUUUGAUUAUAUAAUAUUUGACUAGUUUCGGAUCGUUUGGCUAUGAGUCGAGGAGUUAGAGAGGCAUUGGAGCUGGUUAUGGAACUUCGGAGCCAAGUAAGUCUCAUAUCUAACCUUAUGAGGGGAAUUUACCCCGUAGGUGUUUUCUUGUUAUAUGCUACAUGUUGUGGGAGCUGCGCACGUAUGAGGUGACGAGUGUCCAUGCGUAUGCUAGCAUUCCUGGUUAUGUCCGGGUAUACUUAGGUUCACGCCAUGCUUUAAUUGUACUAAUUGAGUCAUCCUUUCCUGCUUAAUUCCUUUAUUUUGUGCUACGACCUGAGACUAGGCUUACGUAGAGUGAUGGACUCGCUAUUGUAGAGAUUUGACGAGCUACUUGAUUAGCCGCGGAAUGAUUUUGCUUCCCCUACGGAUUUUUCCCACAUUGUGCGUUUUUAUCGAAAAGCUUUUUCAAAUUUCAUAACUCACACGUAUAUUCGUGAGUGGGGUCAAGGACCCGUUAAAGCUUCUUAUUCUUAUGGGAUCGGGACGUUCGCCUUGGCAGUAUAUUGUAACACACUCGUAUGGGAUCGGGUCGUUCGCCUCGCCAGGAUAUUGUAACACAUUCUUAUAGGAUCGAACUGUUCGCCUCGGCAGUAUCAUAUUCUUAUGGGAUCAGGUCGUUCGCCUCGGCAGUAUCAUACUCUUGUGGGAUUGGGCCGUUCGCCUCGGCAAUAUCAUAUUCUUAUAGGAUCGGGUCGUUCGCCUCGACAUAUCAUACUAUUAUGGGAUCGGGCCGUUUGCCUUGGCAGUAUCAUAUUCUUAUGGGAUCCGAACGUUCGCCUCAGCAGUAUCAUGUAUCACAUUCUUAUGGGAUCGGGUCGUUAGCCUCGGCAUUUCUAUAAAAUACUCUUAUGGGAUCGGGUUGUUCGCCUCGGCAACUUCAUGAAACACUCUUAUGGGAUCGGGUCGUUCGCCUCGGCAGAAUCGUGCGUAAUAUUUGACAAGAAGCCAGUGUAUCCAUGAGUUUUCCUGAUUUAAAUUGUGAUGACCUAUCUGGUGGGGAUAUAUAUAUACUCUAGUUGAGGAGGUAACCGAUAAUUAAGAGUUUUUGUUUACUGUUCAGAGGAGGAUCGUACCACGUAUCCAUAUUUGUUUACACUGUUUAUUUACCAUGCCUCAUACUUAUUUACUUUCUAUUGUGCUUGAUUUAUUAGACUACUGGUAAGUGUCAAUGUCGAUCCCCUGUUACUACUUCUUCGGGGUUAGGCUAGAUACUUACUGGGUACGCGUUGAUUUACGUACUCAUGCUACACUUCUGCACUUAUUGUUCAGGUAUAUAUUUCUGGUGGUCUUUUGGGCGCAAAGGCGCAGCUAUUGCGGGACUUUACGGUGAGCUGCAUCUCAUGUUAUGAUCUGCAGCAUACGGAGUCUCUGUCAGAGUUAUUUAUAUUUUUUCUGUCUAACUUGUAUUCCAGACAGAUGUUGUAUUGUUAUAGUACCUUCUAGUAGAUGCUUAUGCACUUGUGACACCUGGUUUUGGGAGUGUUUUAGAAUUGUUAUGAAUUAUUUUACAUUGGUACACUUUUACUUAUUACUUUUAAUUAAAUUAUACGUAACUACA